rnacentral:lncRNA from 1 species
GUUCCAUAAAUUUUCAUAUGCAUGUAUUACAAUAAUGAGUAGCUGUUCCAUGAAUUUUUAUAUGCAUGAAUGUGUAGUUGGAGUUUAAUUGUCAAUAAGUUUAUUUCAUAGUAUAGUAUAUUGUGACAACCGGGUCAAAUCCCGAAUCUUUUUCGAAAAUCAGGUCAAGUCCCGAAAUCCGAAUCCAAAUCCAAAAAUAAGCCGAAAUAAACUGGCCCAAUUGCAACAACUUGGGUAAUUUACAAGCCCACCACAGACCCCCAGAAGAUCAUGAUUUGUUGGUGCAAUUAGUAGUAAUACUUAUGCUUAUAAACUGAACAAAUAUUCCCACUCUUCUCGAUGUGGGACUGGAGUGUUACAUAUAUAAUAUCAUCAGUUCUCCGCUUAUUUUCUUUUUGGAGGCAUCAUCCAGGCAAAUGGUUUGUGGUGAUCCUUUUUAAUCCACUUUGAUAGAUGUUUUUUUGCCUGUUUCAUCAUUACAUUUUCAAAACAUACAAAAACACCGCAUAAACUUAAAUAUAGAAAUGUUUAGAGCAUGCCCGUGCCUCGCACGGGCUAUAAAGCUAGUUACUAAAAGCACUCAACUAAAACACACCCACACACACUUGCCAUUAAUAAAACGCAGCACAACAACUGCCCCAUCCAUCCAGAUCUUCCACGACCAACUCUCACAGUACCCCACCCACCCCUCCCUCCCUCCACCCGUGACCCAGCUUCCCUGCCCACAACCUCCCGUCCAAUCUCCCGCCACCGCUGGUAUAAUAUAUUCUUGACAAUGUCGUCAAGAAAUAAAGGAGGAAGAUGAGCUUACUCUACAUAUACACACAGUAUAUAUAGGUUUAGCCGUAUGUAUUUAUGUGUGUUUAUUGAUUCCGGAUUUAUUUGUUCUAGUGAUUUCAUUUGGUACUCAAUAUGCAAAUAUAUCGAAAAGAGCGCUUCUGAGUGAUGGUUGUGGGUCGGUGGUGGUGGUUAGGCGGUGAAAUUGGUGGCAGAAGUGACGAUCUCUCUCUCAAUCUCGUGAACGACUAGGCUCUGUUAUGGAUUAUAAUGUUGUUAAAAUUUUGAUAUUCUUGGUGAUAUAUUUACAGAAAUCGAUGAUUUUUGCUGUACAAAUUAGUGAUUUUUGCUUCUGAAAUUAGUGAUUUUCGCUUCAUAAAUUAGUGAUAUGCACUUCAGAAAUUAUUGAUAUGCGCUUCACAGAUUAGUGAUUCAUUCAAAACACAUAGUAAUUACUCAUAACUCCAUGGAAAAACUUUUAAUUAGCAGAUUUUGAGAUCGAAGAAGACGAUUACGAAAGAGAGAGAUGGUUUGGCUGCGUGUGUUAAUUAUUUUGUAUGGACUCUGCGUGUAUAUCUAAGCAGCGUGUAUAUCUGAGCAGAGUGUUUAUAAAGUGGACAUGUCGAAACUAUUGGGUUGGGCUGACAUUUGAUUGGGUUGGGCUGUGGUUUUUAGUUUGUAGAAUUAGAGGGUUUGUAGUAGAAUAAGAC